CAUUUAUGUCACAUGGCAUGUACAAAACAUUGUUUGAGUUUUUACAUGAAGUUCUGAGGUUACUUCCGCAUUGUUCCUUAUUUGACUAAGUAAAAUGUUCACAUAUUGGGUUUGGUUCAUAAGACAUUUCUGACUAUAGUCAUCUAUUGGACAAAAUAGAAUUCACCUUAUUUUAAUACUUAGCUUUGAAUCGACACUAUCCAGUAGUAGAAUGGUGGAAUAAGCUGGUACAUUACUGCUGUUUCAUUAUCACAUCCACAUAGAUGUGUGCUAAUAUCAACAUUUCCAGUAUCAGUGUCAUAGUGAUAAUGUUGGUACUAUUAUUUUAAUCAUUUUGACCUAUUAACCACACAACUUCCCCUCAAGUCUAACCUAUCCAAUUGUGAACCCCUGUGCCUUUUUUGUUUCUAAUCCAUUCUUUUUAGAAAGAAAAUUCUAAUGUUCUUAAAUAGCAAAUCUUUGGACUAUGGUCAUUUCAGCUGGCAUUUCAAACAUCUGAUGAAUACAUGGUGUUUUAUUUUAUGCCUGUCAAACAAUUCUGAUGGACGUUUAAUACACUCUUAAUAGUUUGACUAGUUGUACUAUAGUUUGGUCUUAGCAAGAAAUAGCUUAACUAAUAAGGUCUGAAUCAUGCCCCUGAGGCUAUGUGUCAACAUCUGGAUGAUUCAGACUGAAGUCUCUUGAGAGCUCAUUUUCCAUCGUGUCCUCAAAGUCGUUUUCAUUGAGGGAAAUUGUUCCUGAGAGAUCUUUCAAUUGCUAUUGUUACCAUCACCCAAUUUAAGACCAAAAGAACUUUUUAUUCUGUUAAUAUGCUGAAC
rnacentral:lncRNA from 1 species